UACUUGGAGAUCCUGGUCAAAGAGCACAAUGGGCGAACAAGGGAAAAAGCAAUUGCUGUGGACACGUUUGCAAUGACUGAUGAUAAUUUAUGAUAAUAAAAGCAAACUGCAUAAGCUUGAUCCACUGAUGUUCAAAUUAAUCAUUGGCAUUGUCAAUAAGAACAACCACUGGAUGUUGAUGGUUAUGCUUCCAUCAGAGAAGAGGUCGUUCCUUGAUCCUCUUGAAAAGCAAAGGACAUGAAACACUGUUAAGGUGUGACAA